rnacentral:rRNA from 1 species
GACGAACGCUGGCGGCGUGCCUAAUACAUGCAAGUCGAGCGAAUCAAUAGGAGCUUGCUCCUGUUGGUUAGCGGCGGACGGGUGAGUAACACGUGGGCAACCUGCCUGUAAGACUGGGAUAACACCGGGAAACCGGUGCUAAUACCGGAUAAUCCUUUUCCUCUCAUGAGGGAAAGCUGAAAGUCGGUUUCGGCUGACACUUACAGAUGGGCCCGCGGCGCAUUAGCUAGUUGGUGAGGUAACGGCUCACCAAGGCGACGAUGCGUAGCCGACCUGAGAGGGUGAUCGGCCACACUGGGACUGAGACACGGCCCAGACUCCUACGGGAGGCAGCAGUAGGGAAUCUUCCACAAUGGACGAAAGUCUGAUGGAGCAACGCCGCGUGAGCGAUGAAGGCCUUCGGGUCGUAAAGCUCUGUUGUUAGGGAAGAACAAGUACCGGAGUAACUGCCGGUACCUUGACGGUACCUAACCAGAAAGCCACGGCUAACUACGUGCCAGCAGCCGCAGUAAAAC